AUUAGCUGUAUAUGCCACCUCGGUAGGUUGAUCUUGGUUGGUAAGACGUAUGUUUAUCUGUGAUCAAAUUAUGCCAAAGAAAUUUUUAAAUUCUGUGAUUAGUUAUUAUCCAGUUUCAAUAUCACCCCCGCCUUCUCAAACAAGAGUGCCAUCUAGAAAUGGUAGCUGCCAAGGUAAUUAAAAGUACAGGUACAGCAAUCUAAGCAGUCACUGGAAGCGGGGAGUGGUUAACCGAGAGGGGGUAAAAAGUGACAGUUGGCGAGUCAGUGGGCUGGUCGAUAUGUUUGUGUAUUUUGCCCUCCAAGAGUUUCCAACGUAUGCAUAGAGAUUUUUAUGUUUUUGAAAAUUAUUGCGUAUGAGGUAAGUGGGAUGAUUUUUUUUUGUUUCUUGAAAAGACGUUUUUAUUCCAGAUGCCAUCGUUUUGUGCCGAUUAAGGGAAAAUGGCUGCGAACACCAAACACCGUAGUGUGGUUGUUGGAUUGGGGAUACUAAUUUGCCGCGAAUGAACACCUAUUGAGAGCAGUCAUUGCUGAACAGGUUCUAAUACAUUGUUUAAAGUACUCUGGAAGAUUCCGUACACGGAUGUUCGUUAUCCGGGGGAAAUACGCCAUUCAGGGCUUUUAUUAUCGGCUUCCUGGAAUCACCAUCAAUGGACCCUGAACGAACAGCAUCUAUUGCUUCGUAGGUGAAAGAAAAAAAAAUAAACGGGUGAAGAGCCAUUAGAAGAGCUGGACGAACGACGCAGGAAAUGUGUUUUUUAGUGUAGAAAAAGAUUAUGUCAGUGAUGGAUGUCGUUGAAAAUGAAUAAAAAAUGGAAG